rnacentral:rRNA from 1 species
GACGAACGCUGGCGGCGUGCUUAACACAUGCAAGUCGAACGGAAAGGCCCUGCUUUUGUGGGGUGCUCGAUUGGCGAACGGGUGAGUAACACGUGAGUAACCUGCCCUUGACUUUGGGAUAACUUCAGGAAAAUGGGGCUAAUACCGGAUAGGAGCUCCUGCUGCAUGGUGGGGGUUGGAAAGUUUCGGCGGUUGGGGAUGGACUCGCGGCUUAUCAGCUGGUUGGUGGGGUAGUGGCUGACCAAGGCUUUGACGGGUAGCCGGCCUGAGAGGGUGACCGGCCACAUUGGGACUGAGAGACGGCCCAGACUCCUACGGGCGGCAGCAGUGGGGAAUCUUGCACAAUGGGCGGAAGCCUGAUGCAGCAACGCCGCGUGCGGGAUGCCGGCCUUCGGGCUGUAAACCGCUUUCGCAUGUGACGAAGCGUGAGUGACGGUAAUGGGUAAAGAAGCCCCGGCUAACUACGUG